AAAGUCUGAUGGUGUCCAAAAGAUCCAAGCUCUCGAUACAGACUGCAUUAGGGCACUGAACUAAGUAGAAGCAUUCUCACUAGAGCCCCUGAUCUCUCUCCUCAAGAAGUCAAAAUCACUCUUUAAGACUCUUCGAAGUAUAGCUGCCUCUGCAGUUAGGUCUGAGACUUCUGUGAGAUCCUCAUGUGGCUGGGGAUGGGCUAAAACUAAUACUUGCCUUUGCAAGUCUAAUACUCUGUCUGUCAAUCUCAAAAUACAUCCCUUAAGCUACUCAAUGCGUACCGACUGAUCAGUAAGCAUCUGAAAAAUAGUAGAAAUGUGAGAGAUCAGAGUCUGAUCUGAGUCACCCUGGGAUGUCGAUCUCUGUGCAAAGACUGAAGUGCCAAACUACUGAGAUAGAAUAGAGGCUACACGUUGGAAAAUCAUCUCAAUC
rnacentral:lncRNA from 1 species